rnacentral:rRNA from 1 species
AGGAGCUUGCUCUUCUUGGAUGAGUUGCGAACGGGUGAGUAACGCGUAUGUAACCUGCCUUGUAGCGGGGGAUAACUAUUGGAAACGAUAGCUAAUACCGCAUAACAAUGGGUGACUCAUGUCAUUUAUUUGAAAGGAGCAAAUGCUCCACUACAAGAUGGACCUGCGUUGUAUUAGCUAGUAGGUGAGGUAACGGCUCACCUAGGCGACGAUACAUAACCGACCUGAGAGGGUGAUCAGCCACACUGGGACUGAGACACGGCCCAGACUCCUACGGGAGGCAGCAGUAGGGAAUCUUCGGCAAUGGGGGCAACCCUGACCGAGCAACGCCGCGUGAGUGAAGAAGGUUUUCGGAUCGUAAAACUCUGUUGUAAGUCAAGAACGAGUGUGAGAGUGGAAAGUUCACACUGUGACGGUAGCUUACCAGAAAGGGACGGCUAACUACGUGCCAGCAGCCGCGGUAAUACGUAGGUCCCGAGCGUUGUCCGGAUUUAUUGGGCGUAAAGCGAGCGCAGGCGGUUUGAUAAGUCUGAAGUUAAAGGCUGUGGCUCAACCAUAGUUCGCUUUGGAAACUGUCAAACUUGAGUGCAGAAGGGGAGAGUGGAAUUCCAUGUGUAGCGGUGAAAUGUGUAGAUAUAUGGAGGAACACCGGUGGCGAAAGCGGCUCUCUGGUCUGUAACUGACGCUGAGGCUCGAAAGCG